AGGCUCGCCGGCCUCUGGCUCAGGAAAUUUUGGGAGACUGUUCUGUCUCUGCCUCCCACCUCGCUGUAGGAGUCUUCGGAUUACAGACGUGAGCACUGCAUCCGGUUUCCAUGGAUCCGGGAAUUGAACUCGGGUCAUAACACUUGUGCCGCUGCGACUCUCGUCUUCCAAGCUGUCUCCCCGUCUUCUUCCUCCCUUACAGACCAACACGAUUAAUCACACGCAGAGGGGAACAACUUGCCCUUCUCCCAGCUGAUAGUCUCACACCCAGAAUAUAUCAAAGGCAUUCACAACUCCAAAGCAACAUGAUGCAUGAUCAUUUAACAGGUGGAUGGACGACCAGGAGGACACUUUGUUGACGAAGACAGAUGGAAGUAUUGGCCCGUGCCCAGCCAGAAGUGUAUUCCCUCACCACCACCACCACUGCCUUGACAGCUCCUCCCUCUUCUCUGAUCUCCUGUUCAGGGAGGCCUCUCCUGACAUCCGCUUCUAGCUUUGCUAGGCUGGAUGGUCAGUGGAAGUUUGUCCUCCUAUGCCCUCCAGUCCAUCUCUGUUACCUUCCCUGGAAUAUCUCGGAGUCCGGGAACUGUCCCGGAGUUGGGAGGCCAGCGAGGAGGCAGGUCGAGGGGCCAGGCUGAGGAAGGCAGAGUACAGACACUGGGCUGAGGAAGAACGUUUGUUGUCGAGAAGACCAUACUUGGCGGAAGUUGCCAGAUCCCACCUGAAACAGAUAAGAAUAUUAAACUAGUGUAAAUAUUUUAACCAAUGAGCCGAAUCUCAGGCUCUCCCUAUGAAGUCCCCUUGCCACCUGGGAGGCUGUGUUCUCUGGACGGCCAAUAAAAUGGUGCAUUUGUACA
rnacentral:lncRNA from 1 species